AAAAAGAAGUAUAUGUAUACAUAUAAAUAAAAGAAAAUAUAAAAACAAAUAAGGAAUUAUAAUUGAGAAAUUUUAUAAGAAAAAAGUGAUAAAAUAGUGUAAUUAAAAAUAAAAUCAUAAGAGGUUCGUCGGCAGGAGAGGGCUCCCAGAGCGCGUAUACAGCGACAACGCAACGAAUUUUGUCGGUGCCAGUCGAGAGCUGCUCCAGCUCAGAGAAGCAAUGGCCAACAAUGCCGACGCCAUGAAAACGUACGCUGCCAACAAAGGAAUAGACUUUGUCUUCAUUCCUCCUCGAGCUCCACAUUUCGGCGGUCUGUGGGAAGCGGCCGUCAAAUCCGCCAAAACACUUCUAACCAAAACCGUAGGCAAGGUGCUGUUGACGGUAGAGGAAUUACAAACGGUUCUGGUUCAAAUAGAGGCAGUCCUGAACUCCAGACCGAUCGCUCCCAUCAGCAACGAUCCCAACGACGGCGAAGCGUUAACUCCAGCGCAUCUACUAUUCGGAGAGAGCCUUCUAGCGCUGCCGCCAGAAUUGCCUCACGAAGAAGUGGACAGGCUGAGGUACUCCAAGAGAUGGCGGCUUACCUGCACUCUCAAGCAGAUGUUUUGGCAAUCUUGGGAGAAAGAUUACGUCCGCAGCCUCCAAGCCAAAACCAAGUGGGCGGAAGAAGAGCCAGAUCUCGUCGUCGGCAAGCUCGUCGUCGUUCACGAAGACAACAUGGCACCCCUGAAGUGGCUGACAGGCCGAGUAUUGGCGGUAACCCCAGGCGAGGACGGCAAAGUGAGAGUAGCGGAAGUGAAGACUAGGAAUGGUAUUUUGAAGAGGCCAAUCCAUAAACUUGCGCUACUACCAAUGGAUUGAAGACCGUAGGUCCUUCAAUGGGGCCGGUGUUGAGUCAUACCACAUUUUUUAUUUUUGAUUUGAAUUUUUUAAUGAAUUAAUUAUUUUAAAUCAUUGCUAAUUACCCUUGCAUUUUGACAAUUAACUAUCUUUGAAUUACCUACUCUAAUUGUCAGAAUGCUUGGGUAAUUUUACUUAAGUGUUAUAUUGUCAAAUAGAAUAAGAAACCAUUUUUAAAAAAUAAAUUACUCUUGUACUAAUAUUGAAA